AUUGAACGCUGGCGGCAUGCCUUACACAUGCAAGUCGAACGGCAGCAUGGAGGAGCUUCCUCUUCUGAUGGCGAGUGGCGAACGGGUGAGUAAAGCAUCGGAACGUACCGUGUAGUGGGGGAUAACGUAGCGAAAGUUACGCUAAUACCGCAUACGCACUGAGGUGGAAAGCAGGGGAUCGCAAGACCUUGCGCUAUACGAGCGGCCGAUGUCAGAUUAGCUAGUUGGUAGGGUAAAGGCCUACCAAGGCGACGAUCUGUAGCGGGUCUGAGAGGAUGAUCCGCCACACUGGGACUGAGACACGGCCCAGACUCCUACGGGAGGCAGCAGUGGGGAAUUUUGGACAAUGGGCGAAAGCCUGAUCCAGCCAUGCCGCGUGAGUGAAGAAGGCCUUCGGGUUGUAAAGCUCUUUCGGCUGGGAAGAAAUCGCACAGGCUAAUACUCUGUGUGGAUGACGGUACCAGCACAAGAAGCACCGGCUAACUACGUGCCAGCAGCCGCCGUAA
rnacentral:rRNA from 1 species